UUAAACAUGUACAUUAAUAAACCUGAAGUACCAAAGGAGGUUAUAGAUGAAAUUUUUUGUACUUGUUAUCAGAGAAUUGGAUCUGAAAUUCAACAUCCCUGUAGUAAGAGAGACAUUGUACAGAACCAAAAAAUGUUAACAAGUUUAAAAACAAUUGAGUCAGCAGAUUGGAGGAGCUGCUUUGAGUCUGCAGAUUGGGAAAAAGCCGACCCUUAAAUCUACCUCUAGCCAGACUUUCUAUAAUAUCAAAAGAAAGAAUGAUAUGCCAGAUUUUACUAUUGAUUCAAUAGCAAUUAAAAAAGAUUUGAGUAGAUUGUGGAAUGUAGUUAUGUGGAAUGUGGAAUGUAAUUUGAGUAGGUGUGAAAUCUAAUUCUUCCAAAAAAUUAAGAUAUUGUCACAUGCUCUAAAUAACUAUUACUCAGUGGAAAAAGUGGAACUUUCAUUAAAAAAAAUAAAACUAUUGAAAUUGUCGUUAAAGGUUAGUGUAUGUUAAAGAUCCAAUAUCUCUAGUUAAUCAUAUUUGUACAGCUAAAAGACUAGAAAUCGGUAACAUUAUUAUUCGUGUAGGAAUAGAUAGUGACCAAGUGCCUUUAAAAAUUAUUAUGAAUGUUUUAAAUAGAAAAGUAAAUUAAGACUCCAAAAAAACCAAGAAUACUGGCGUUAACAAAUUUAUAUUAUUGACUUUUUCUGAAAAUAUUUGCAAAUGUCACACAAAUCUUCAAAUUCUUUUAAAAAAAUAAAAGCUAAACAGUUUAAAGUUCUACCUUCCCGCAGAUCUUAAAUUACUCAACGUAGUUUUGGGUUUGUCAGGACAUGGGGUAAAAUAUUCAUGUUUGUUUUGUGAUGGCAAUAAAAAAAAUCUUGGUUAUGCUUAUUAUGGUUUAUCUUAUGGUUAUUAUGUUAUCUUGGUCAUGGUUAAAUAUGCUGAAAAACAUGUAUGAAAACUUAGCUGAAAGUGGAUUUAAAAAAUGUUCUAUGCAACUCUACAAGAAUUUUAUACACCUGUGUCUCCUUGUUCAGUCUAGAGAGAUGUUUGUGCUUGAUGUAAUCCCUCUUCCAGAACUUCAUUUACUGAUGAAGAUUAUAACAAAGAUUCCAAACGUGAAAGGAACUUGAUGUUGCUCUCUGGUUAAAAAAACAUGGAAUUAUUUGGCAUGGGUAUAAUGAAGGUGGACUGGAUGGCAAAAAUGCUAAAAAAAUUUUUCAAAAAGCUUUUGAAUUUGAAAAAGUUUAUUUUAGAUCAUUUUCCUUCUUAAUUACCAUCCAGUUGUUGAACUGUUAAUGUCUUUUUCUACAGUAGUAAACAUGUGUUUCGGAAUAAGAUUCCACGACUGUUAUGCUGAUACCAUUGCAACAUAUGUAAGGAAGUUGAAGGAAAACAAAGAAUAUGUGAAGACUAUAUUCAACCACAACCUUAUUUAGGCUAUUUAGGUGCUCCAAGAAAUUCUUACGGUUUUAUCACGGAGCACUGUAGACCGUCGAAGAGCAUUUAACUAGAAGCUCACUCCUCCUUCUUUACUAAUGAAGUUAAGUGGCAAUGUGACGGGAGCAGGCAGGAGACAAAAGACUUAUCAUCCAGCCCCGUUGUAUUAUUUAUAUAUUAAACAAAAA